GAUCAGUUAGCUUAGCUGGCUGAGCCUGGUGCUACAAACACUAGGCGUUAUAAACGCCAGGUGCAGGUUCGAAACCUGCAGUGUUAU